UACAGAGGGUGCGAGCGUUAAUCGGAAUUACUGGGCGUAAAGCGUGCGUAGACGGUUAUGUAAGUCGGAUGUGAAAGCCCCGGGCUUAACCUGGGAAUUGCAUUCGAGACUGCAUAGCUAGGAUGCGGAAGAGGGAAGUGGAAUUUCCGGUGUAGCGGUGAAAUGCGUAGAUAUCGGAAGGAACAUCAGUGGCGAAGGCGACUUCCUGGACCAAUACUGACGCUCAGGUGCGAAAGCGUGGGGAGCAAACAGG
rnacentral:rRNA from 1 species